rnacentral:tRNA from 1 species
AAAAAGAUAAGCUAAAUUAAGCUUUUAGGCUCAUAACUUAACUAUAGGAAUAUAUAAACCUUCUUUUUA